CCUACGGGAGGCAGCAGUAGGGAAUAUUGCUCAAUGGAGGAAACCCUGAAGCAGCAACGCCGCGUGGAGGAUGAAGGUUUUCGGAUUGUAAACUCCUUUUGUUAGAGAAGAUAAUGACGGUAUCUAACGAAUAAGCACCGGCUAACUCCGUGCCAGCAGCCGCGGUAAUACGGAGGGUGCAAGCGUUACUCGGAAUCACUGGGCGUAAAGGGCGCGUAGGCGGGAUAGCAAGACAGAUGUGAAAUCCUAUGGCUUAACCAUAGAACUGCAUUUGAAACUGUUAUUCUAGAGUAUGGGAGAGGUAGGUGGAAUUCUUGGUGUAGGGGUAAAAUCCGUAGAGAUCAAGAGGAAUACUCAUUGCGAAGGCGACCUGCUAGAACAUAACUGACGCUGAUGCGCGAAAGCGUGGGGAGCAAACAGGAUUAGAUACCCGGGUAGUC
rnacentral:rRNA from 1 species